ensembl:lncRNA
GUGAUAGAUGAACGUCUCUGACCUAAUUUAGAAGAAGCGCUCAAGAAGAAAGCAGCUUUCCGAAGGUCCGUCGGAGAAAGAUCUGUAUAAAUAUUGUCUCCCUGCUGGUUGUCCUGGGCUAAAGAUGAAACAAGUCAAGGCAUUAUACCUUGAACAUCUGAUGGUUUGUUGCACCACUCUUGCUCUGCUCUUGCUCCCGACUGGAAGCUGCUGGACAAUGCUGAGAAUGCAAAAAAAUAUAAGUAAGGAAUAGGUAUCAUAUGGGACAAUAUUAUUAAGGGAC